ensembl:lncRNA
GUAUAGAUAUAGCUAUCUAGAUGGAGAAUUGAUUGCAUUGCUGCCAUUUUGAAGAGGUGUUUGGAGCAGUGUUUGGAGCAGUGUUUGGAGCAUGGCGAGGUGUUUUGGAGCAGCAUUCAGUGGACCCCAUUCAACACCAAACAACAAGGCAUUGCUUCUCAUAAGUGAAGACGCAGCAGGCUUGAAGAAGCACGCCGCUGGAAUUCUGCACAGGAUGAACGCUGGCAGUACAGACCUACGUGUGAUGUAGAUCAGUGUAACUGCUUUAGAGCACAGCCGGUGAUUUUCUGCCGCUUAUAAAACGCAUACGAUCCGCGAUGAGUAUCCGGAUGCUGCUACUUGUGAUAACGUUGAAGACCUGGAUCUACCAGCAUGCAAUUCUACCGAGACUUUUAUGGAACCUGCUCUUACAUGCAAUUCCCCUGACAACUGUGGAAGCCCUGGAGAAGAAAGUCAGCAGAGAUCUUUGGACAUGGCUUGGUUUGCCCCAGGAGCCUGAACAGUGCUGCUCUGUAUAAGAACA